rnacentral:rRNA from 1 species
GUGCCAGCCGCCGCGGUAAUACGGAGGGUGCGAGCGUUGUUCGGAUUUAUUGGGCGUAAAGCGCGUGCAGGCGGUCUUCUAAGUCUGAUGUGAAAGCCCCGGGCUUACCCCGGGAAGUGCAUUGGAAACUGGGAGACUUGAGUACGGGAGAGGGCAGCGGAAUUCCUGGUGUAGGGGUGAAAUCCGCAGAUAUCAGGAAGAACACCGGUGGCGAAGGCGGCUGCCUAGACCGAUACUGACGCUGAGACGCGAAAGCGUGGGGAUCAAACAGGAUUAGAAACCCUUGUAGUCC